UGGCCGUAAACGAUACUCGCUAGGUGUCGGCCACGGUGCGACCGUUGUCGGUGCCGUAGGGAAGCCGUGAAGCGAGCCACCUGGGAGGUACGGCCGCAAGGCUGAAACUUAAAGGAAUUGGCGGGGGAGCACCACAACGGGUGGAGCUUGCGGUUUAAUUGGAUUCAACGCCGGAAAUCUUACCGGGACCGACAGCAACAUGAAGGCCAGGCUGAAGACUUUGCCGGAUUAGCUGAGAGGAGGUGCAUGGCGUAGUCGUGU
rnacentral:rRNA from 1 species